AGACAAAAUCAGCCUCUGAAACCCUACUGCCAAUCCCCACACCCUCCGCCUCCGCUCGUCUCUCCUCCCGCAUCUCCUUCUCUUUCCCGUUCCAGCUCCCAUGGCGCCGCCGGUGCUGUCCCGCUCGCCCUCCUUUCUUCCACUCGAGGUCCCUCGUCUCUCUCCGCCCCGUGGAGCUUGCCUCUGGACACACGCCUCCGCCGCCGGCCUCCUGCGGGAUGCGAGAGGAGGUGGACGGGAAGGGGCCUCCUCACCCGCUCGACGUCCUCCUGCCGCCUCUCCUCCUCUAUCUCAGCGCCCUCACGCGGCCUCUCCUCCUCUGUUCCAUGCACCUCCAUGGCCGCCAUAGGGGGCCGCCGCAUCCCCUACUCGGGCCAGCAGGGCAAGCGGCAACAGGAGGAAGUGCUGCUGCUACGUCUCCGGACGAGCAGGUGGUGGCCGGCGGGAGCACCGCCGCCGAGCACUGGAGUAGGGCGAAGCAGGUCGACCAGGAUGGCGCUUGCGGAGCUGUGCUGCGCGGGAACCUCCACAACGAGCCACCAACCCUGACGGCCUGCAGGGCGAGCACCGGUCAGAUCUGGUCCAGAUGCGUCGUCUCCGUGGUCUGCUCCGCCCAGCCGGCCGCCGCCGCCCCAUCCAACUCUUAUGCCACUAUCCAGCGAGCCAACACCUCCACCACCGGUCUUCCAUUGCCUAGCAUACUCCACCGAGCCUUCUAGGUUCGCUCUUGAUUUCUCCCUCUCCCCUCUCUCUCUUUCUCUCUCUCUCUGAUUUCACGUUUUAUUCCCUUGUAUUGUCCAUCUUAGAAGUGGCGUGUGCACAGAAUGCAACUCCAUCAUGAGCAGCUCUGCUAAUCUAGGUGGUUGCUUUGUAUACAUCAGGAAGCAGCUCCAGUGUUUGCAUCUGGAGCAUUUUUUUAGGCUACAUAUGAUCUCCAUAGGAUACUGAAUGAGUUAUGUGAUGGCAUGGUGUUGGUGCUUAUGUGAGGAUGAACCCAGCUGAUGUGUUAGAGAGACAGAGAGGAAAGAGACUGUUGUUUGUUGGUGAUUCACUCAACAUGAACCUGUGGGAAUCACUUGUUUUGUAUCAUGAGGAAUUCUAUCAAAGACAAAAGAAAGCUGUUCGAGGUAUCCGGCAACCGCAAAUUCAGGGAUGAGGUCUCCUACUCUUUCUUGUUUCAGGUAGAUAUUUAAUGCUUUUCACAUCCCAUUAUUUUGGCUCCCUUUCACUGGAAGUGCAGAAGGUUAUGCUUGUUAUCUGUGCGUUUUUGAUCAUGCAGGACGAAAGCUUAUGUGCUAGAUUCAGAUAUCUGACUGGUACUUCCCUUGGAUCUUUUGUAUGGCUAGCUGUUUUGAUUACUGAUGUGCCUUAAGCAAUGGGGUCUACAAAAGGCAGAAAUAUCAAGAUUUUCAUUGAUUAAAUGGUGAAAGUUCUAACAAGUGAUGUUGUGGUCUUACCGUAUUACUGCCUGAUGAUGUAGCUAUUUGAGUGCUAUAGUUUCUAAUAAUGGAGCAGUGUUCGGCAGGGAGUGCAUGCUGAACAUCUCUUCUGUAUAUAUUUCAUCUAUAAGUCUGAAACGGUUCCAUUUUUUACCUAACGCAAGCUGAUGCAAUUAUUGUCGAGGACAUUGUUGCUUCAGCGGUUGUCACUAUGCAAGAAAUCCGUAGGUAGCUCAGGUGUGAGUCCAUGCUUUUUUGUUACUUUGUACAUCCUUCAGAAUAGAAUCUGAAGCUUGUCUCGAUGCUCCUAUUGGUGGGGAUCACAAUUCUUGGCCAAAACACUUCGGCGUGUCGUGAUGCAUCUCCCCACAAGAUUUGAUGUCGGUUGUGGUGAGCUAUCGAUUGGGAUUCUUAGUU